AUACGGAAGGUCCGGGCGUUAUCCGGGUUUAUUGGGUUUAAAGGGAGCGCAGGCGGAGAUGCAAGCGUGACGUCAAAUUUCGGGGCUCAACCCCGUCUCGCGUCGCGAACUGCGUCCCUUGGUUGCGGGAAGGGGAGGCGGAACUCGGGGUGUAGCGGUGGAAUGCAUAGAUAUCACGAAGAACUCCGAUCGCGAAGGCAGCCUUCCGGCCCGUCAACGACGCUCAUGCUCGAAGGUGCGGGUAUCAAACAGGAUUAGAUACCCUGGUAGUCCGCACAGUAAACGAUGGACACCCGCGGUUUGGCCUAUAUGGCUGAGCCGCCAAGCGAAAGCGUUAAGUGUCCCACCUGGGGAGUACGCCGGCAACGGUGAAACUCAAAGGAAUUGACGGGG
rnacentral:rRNA from 1 species